rnacentral:rRNA from 1 species
UACGAAGGGGGCGAGCGUUGUUCGGAAUUACUGGGCGUAAAGGGCGCGUAGGCGGCCGAUCAAGUCAGAUGUGAAAGUCCUGGGCUUAACCUGGGGACUGCAUUUGAUACUGAUUGGCUUGAAUUCGGGAGAGGAUAGCGGAAUUCCCAGUGUAGAGGUGAAAUGCGCAGAUAUCAGGAGGAACACCAAUUGCGAAGGCAGCUCGCUGGGACGUUACUGACGCUGAGACGCGAAAGCGUGGGGAGCAAACAGG